AAAACAGAAAGGGAAAGAAGCAGCAGCAGCACAACUCCUGUUCGUCCAACCUCUCAUGCUGACUGUCGACUGUCUUUCCGUUCAUAUUUCAUCAGAAUCUCUCUCCUCUUUCUCACGGUACCAGUUCAAUGGAGUAGGUACCAAUUCAAUAAAGUAUCUUGCAUACGUGAUGAAUUAAGCACUUUUUAAAGGUUAAGGUAGAUAGCAAGUUGUGGACUGAAUGGGUUUCAAGAAUAACUAUGGAGAAUCAAGUGGUGUCUAAUGGUUUGUAUUUAUUAUACUUGUACCCUUAGAAGUUUUGGGAUUAUCUUAUUUAUUCUACGCUUCCGCACACUUGGAAUUCUAUGGUUUAAAAAGACGAUGAUGUUAGAAAUCUCUAAACUAGAUUAUGAGCAGG